rnacentral:siRNA from 1 species
UGUGAUGCCCUUAGAUGUUCUGG